UACGGAGGGUGCGAGCGUUGUUCGGAAUCACUGGGCGUAAAGGGCGCGUAGGCGGCCUGCUAAGUCGGACGUGAAAUCCCUCGGCUCAACCGAGGAACUGCGUCCGAUACUGGUGGGCUUGAAUCCGGGAGAGGGAUGUGGAAUUCCAGGUGUAGCGGUGAAAUGCGUAGAUAUCUGGAGGAACACCGGUGGCGAAGGCGGCAUCCUGGACCGGUAUUGACGCUGAGGCGGCG
rnacentral:rRNA from 1 species